rnacentral:rRNA from 1 species
UACGUAGGGGCGAGCGUUGUCCGGAUUUACUGGGCGUAAAGGGUGAGUAGGCGGUUGUAUAUGUCAGAUGUAAAGGCACAGGCUUAACUUGUGUAAGCAUUUGAAACUGUACAACUUGAGUGCAGGAGAGGUAAGUGGAAUUCCUAGUGUAGCGGUGAAAUGCGUAGAUAUUAGGAGGAACACCAGUGGCGAAGGCGACUUACUGGACUGUAACUGACGCUGAGUCACGAAAGCGUGGGUAGCAAACAGG